rnacentral:miRNA from 1 species
ACCCCCCGGUUAUUUUGCUGCAGCCGGACUGCGGCACUCUCUCUCUCUCUCUCACUCUCUCUUAAAAAAAAAAAGAAUUCUGCAAAUAUGUUUUUUAAAAAAAAAGUAUAGUGAAACAAAUACAGUCCGGCUGCAGCAAAAUAACCGGGGGGU